GAGGGUAUAGUUCAGUGGUAGAGCACACGCUUAGCAUGCAUGAGGUCCUGGGUUCAAUCCCCAGUACCUCCA
rnacentral:tRNA from 1 species